UGUACCUCCUCCUCAGCUGGGCGCUUCACAGGGUGGUCAACCUCCUCAUCAGCAGCUUCUUCUGCAUCUUCUUCUGCAUCCUCUCCCUCUCCUGCAAUCAUGCAUAUCAUCCUCUUCAACCUCUGGAGUUACUUCAGAAUGAAUUGCACCAUUUGUCUUCUCCUUUGCACCAUUUGUCUCCUCUGCACCAUUUGUGUGCUAGAGGGAAGGAAUCAAAGAAUGACAAACUUUAAUAUUUCACAUAAAUGUGGGUUAAUUGUAUGCAUGAGUGAUAAGGAAUUUCUUUCAGAAAAGUAUUCUGCAAAAGUUAACCCAAGAGUUACAGCCAACACGCUUCAGAGUUAAAACAGGGCACAUGUUGCAGUUUAUACUUAAUUCCCCCUGAGAAUAAGGAAAGGGAAUGCAAUGAGGUCCAACACAUGCCUUAAGAAACAUUUGUGCCAUUUCACAAAAUAAACAAAGAGUAGUGAGUGGGGGUGGGGUAGUUGGGGCUGAGUCUGGAGACACCUGUAUGAUGAUGGCGCCAAGACAAAAGGCCAUGAGGCUCCCAAGGAAAUGAACUUCGGCAUCAACUCACUGUUUCAUUGCCAGGUGCGUCCCCACUGCCGUUCUCCUUCUUCUCCACCAUCACCUCCUCGGCAACCUCUUUCUUCUCUUUAAGCUCCUAAAAAUAUGUUAUUCUUGGUUGUCUCACUGACACAACUGAAGCAUGUCCACCACGAUGUGGCCAUAUACUCGUCGCCAUCUUUAAUUCGGAUGUUUAAAAUUGUAGUAACCUUUCUACAUAUCUCCAGUAUUUACUAGCGGCGCAUGCCCGACCACUGCCAAAGUGCACACAACGGAAGGCAUCGGGAACUAGCAUCGCUGUUCCCUACGAGAAAGAUAAGCGUGCAUACUCCUCUCGCACUGUGAAAGAUUAACGUUAUCCCUUCCCGCCAUCGCGCAACAGUGUAGCUCGAGCGCAUUCAAUUUGAGGUGCUUUUUAGCUAACGUUUACUAACUAGUAAUAACUUAAACUUGCUAAGGUAGCCACAUUGCAAAUGUAACGAUAAAACUAGCUGGUUAGGAAAGUUAGUCACAGGCCAAGUCGCCAAUAGUUUAAGUUAAAUGUCACGUGCUGAAGUACAGUGAAAGUCCUUUCUUGCAAAAUCAAAACAACGCAGUAAUCAAUGUAGUACUACUAAUGGAGCUAGCGAAGUUAUUGAACAGGUUAAAUAGCUAACUAAAUGUUUGAGAAAUACAUACUAUGUUUCAGCCAUUGACAGUGACUAACAUUAAUGUUAGCUAGCUACUUGGUUAUUAUUACACGGCUGGCUACUGUAGCUUGCUAUUGCAGCUCAAGUUAGCUAGCUGGUGUUCAUGCAGGCUUAGCUGAAGAGUAAAGUUGUUAGCUAGUCAAAUUAAUCACUCACCUUUGCUGAAAUCUCGGUGGUUGUGGUCGUCUCUACUGCGGUAUCAGCCAUAGCUAGUUUGAUUUAAGGGUAUAAUAUGCUUCCGAAAUAAAUACUUUGUUUGAUGUUUAUGGCAGUGAUAUAAGCCUGUUUCAAUGACACGCUGAGGAGAGAGUU
ensembl:lncRNA